CACAGCAAUUUCUGAUGAGGCUGAAGCCCCCAAUGCAGUGACAUCACUUAUAAAAACAAAUAUAACAGAAAAUGAAAAUAUGUAAUAAUUGAAUCAGCUAAUUAUAUUUUUACAGAUUAAAAUAAUGCAGUAAUUCCAGAUGCCUCAUUAAGAAUCAACAAUCUGACAGUAACAUUGGUGACUUGGUCAUGUGAUGCUGUGAGGUGGAGCUUCAUGAACAUUUAUGAUGCUACAGAGUGCAGAAAGUUCAGUAUAGUUUCAUUCAGCUAAGAGCAUUUAUCAUGUUCACUAUCAUUUUCAUGUGUCUGUGGCUUUCAAUAGGUGACUCCAUGGCGGAUUCAAUAAAGUCACUUCUCACUCAUAAAGUUGUAGAUGAAGGUGAUGAUGUUACUCUGUCCUGCAGCUACAAAGACUUUAGUGAUACUGUAAAGAAUCUGCAGUGGUACAAACAAGAUCCAAAAUCUAAUCCUAAAUUCAUUCUUUAUAUUUAUGAAAGUGGAGCUUUAAGUCCCAACAACCCACCAAGAACGAGUGCUAAAGUUCAUGGAAAUAAACAAGUGGAUCUGCACAUCUCCUCUGCUGCUGUAUCAGACUCUGCACUGUACUACUGCGCUCUGACGCCCACAGUGACAGGAAACCCAACUCCACUGUACAAAAAGCACUACACAUGACUGCAGCAGAUUCAUGCUUUUCUCACUAGAUGGAGCUGUUUACAUGUUUACAUUCACUUCCAUGAUAUCGACUACACCUGUUCUUCUG